rnacentral:rRNA from 1 species
UACAGAGGUCCCGAGCGUUGUUCGGAUUCAUUGGGCGUAAAGGGUGCGUAGGCGGGUCUUUAAGUCCGGGGUGAAAUCCUGGAGCUCAACUCCAGAACUGCCUUUGAUACUGAAGAUCUUGAGUUCGGGAGAGGUGAGUGGAACUGCGAGUGUAGAGGUGAAAUUCGUAGAUAUUCGCAAGAACACCAGUGGCGAAGGCGGCAUCCUGGACCAACACUGACACUGAGGAGCGAAAGCCAGGGGAGCAAACGGG